GGACUGUGUUGUAGUUGAAACAUUUCCUUUGUUGUAAACAACAAGUUGUGCCCUAGGAAAGGACCUGCUGAAAGGAUCUGGAGGAUGAAAUGUGCUUCACUCAGCUUGGCUUCUCUCCUGGUGACACAGACCAUCAGCCAGUGCAACUGAAGCAUCAGUACAAUAAGGAGAAGAGAGACAGAAGAGGACAGGAAAAUGGCUGAAAGUGCGAUUAAUUCUGCACAUAAAAUAAGGAAACAUCCAUGCAUAGACUCCACUCCUGCAACUCCUAGAGGUUACUUGGAAACACCCUCAGAUUCUGAUGUCACCACAACUAGUCACGGAGCACAGUUGCUUAUGGAUCUGGAAGGAGACAGACACCUCCAGAAGCUCAGUCAGAUGGGAAGAAUUGUCCUCUGGAAACGCCGAUUACCUUCCACAGGCUACAAAGAGAUGUUAGGGCUACUAUGCUCAAAAUUUCAGCAACUUGGAACUAUACCUACAAGGGAAAAAUUCAUGUCUGUCUUUCUGUGGGAAUGUCCUAACAAAGUCUUGGAAAACAGACUUGACAUUUCUAGGACACAUCCUUCUACUAAUCUGUAAGAAUGAAUUCUACAUAUUCAGUAAAGGUUCAAUUAAGUAAUUUUAAUUAUUCCAUCAAAUAGUUCCUCAAGACAGUAAAAGAGGUUCUUGACUUUUUUGUAAACUUAUCAUGAAACUGGAGCAUUCAAUAUUUCUCAAAUGAUUACCUACCAUAUAAAAUAUUUGUUACUUCACAUUAUUACCAUACAGACUGUAUUUGCCCCCCACUUUGCCUAAAUCUUAUCUGGACAUCUACCUAGCCAAGAACAUAUCACCAGACAGUUGAAAUACUCUUCUAUGGAGAGUAUUAUUUUCAUGUAAGACUUUUCUGCUUCAGUGAUGACUACCUGCCAAUUCUAAAGAACCUUAAAUCCAGUCAUCUUUACCAAAGGACUGUUUUCUUAGAAAAAAAUAUCAAAAUGAGCUGUUUGAAGUGGUGUAACUGUCUUACAGUUCAAAACCUUGAACACAACACUAGUAUUCCUAAUGGUGGUCUCAAGAGAAAAUUGGUCCAGUAAUAGGCCAGGUUAAGAAACCAGCUCUGAAGCACAACGCUUCCCAUGUGAUGUCUCAGACAUUAAAACCAUUUCAAGCAGAAAUGCCUUCCAGAAUUGAGACAUGUAACUGAUUGCUACUUUCUAGCAAGGAGAAGAGAGAGGCGGGAGGGAGAGAGGGGAGGGAGAGAGGGG
rnacentral:lncRNA from 1 species